rnacentral:rRNA from 1 species
GAUGAACGCUGGCGGCGUGCCUAAUACAUGCAAGUCGAGCGAACGGACGAGAAGCUUGCUUCUCUGAUGUUAGCGGCGGACGGGUGAGUAACACGUGGAUAACCUACCUAUAAGACUGGGAUAACUUCGGGAAACCGGAGCUAAUACCGGAUGAUAUUUUGAACCGCAUGGUUCAAAAGUGAAAGACGGUCUUGCUGUCACUUAUAGAUGGAUCCGCGCUGCAUUAGCUAGUUGGUAAGGUAACGGCUUACCAAGGCAACGAUGCAUAGCCGACCUGAGAGGGUGAUCGGCCACACUGGAACUGAGACACGGUCCAGACUCCUACGGGAGGCAGCAGUAGGGAAUCUUCCGCAAUGGGCGAAAGCCUGACGGAGCAACGCCGCGUGGGUGAUGAAGGUCUUCGGGUCGUAAAACUCUGUCAUUAGGGAAGAACAGAUGUGUAAGUAACUGUGCACAUCUUGACGGUACCUAAACAGAAAGCCACGGCUAACUACGUG